rnacentral:rRNA from 1 species
GGGGAAUUUUCCGCAAUGGGCGAAAGCCUGACGGAGCAAGACCGCGUGGGGGAAGAAGGCUCUUGGGUUGUCAACCCCUUUUCUCAGGGAAGAAGUUCCGACGGUACCUGAGGAAUAAGCAUCGGCUAACUCCGUGCCAGCAGCCGCGGUAAGACGGAGGAUGCAAGCGUUAUCCGGAAUUAUUGGGCGUAAAGCGUCCGUAGGUGGCUUUUCAAGUCGGCGGUCAAAGACCGGGGCUUAACUCCGGAAAGGCCGUGGAAACUGAAAGGCUAGAGAAAGGUAGGGGUAGGGGGAAUUCCCGGUGUAGCGGUGAAAUGCGUAGAGAUCGGGAAGAACACCGGUGGCGAAAGCGCCCUACUGGACCUUAUCUGACACUGAGGGACGAAAGCUAGGGGAGCGAAAGGGAUUAGAUACCCCAGUAGUC